UGGUUCUGGCAUCGAUGAAGAACGCAGCGAAAUGCGAUAAGUAAUGUGAAUUGCAGAAUUCAGUGAAUCAUCGAAUCUUUGAACGCACAUUGCGCCCCCUGGUAUUCCGGGGGGCAUGCCUGUUCGAGCGUCAUUUCACCACUCAAGCCUCGCUUGGUAUUGGGCAACGCGGUCCGCCGCGUGCCUCAAAUCGACCGGCUGGGUCUUCUGUCCCCUAAGCGUUGUGGAAACUAUUCGCUAAAGGGUGUUCGGGAGGCUACGCCGUAAAACAACCCCAUUUCUAAGGUUGACCUCGGAUCAGGUAGGGAUACCCGCUGA
rnacentral:misc_RNA from 1 species